rnacentral:rRNA from 1 species
GACGAACGCUGGCGGCGUGCCUAAUACAUGCAAGUUGAGCGCUGAAGGUUGGUACUUGUACCAACUGGAUGAGCAGCGAACGGGUGAGUAACGCGUGGGGAAUCUGCCUUUGAGCGGGGGACAACAUUUGGAAACGAAUGCUAAUACCGCAUAAAAACUUUAAACACAAGUUUUAAGUUUGAAAGAUGCAAUUGCAUCACUCAAAGAUGAUCCCGCGUUGUAUUAGCUAGUUGGUGAGGUAAAGGCUCACCAAGGCGAUGAUACAUAGCCGACCUGAGAGGGUGAUCGGCCACAUUGGGACUGAGACACGGCCCAAACUCCUACGGGAGGCAGCAGUAGGGAAUCUUCGGCAAUGGACGAAAGUCUGACCGAGCAACGCCGCGUGAGUGAAGAAGGUUUUCGGAUCGUAAAACUCUGUUGGUAGAGAAGAACGUUGGUGAGAGUGGAAAGCUCAUCAAAGUGACGGAAAUACCC